rnacentral:rRNA from 1 species
AUACGAAGGGGGCUAGCGUUGUUCGGAAUUACUGGGCGUAAAGCGCGCGUAGGCGGACUGAUCAGUUGGGGGUGAAAUCCCAGGGCUUAACCCUGGAACUGCCUCCAAUACUGUCAGUCUCGAGUUCGGGAGAGGUGAGUGGAAUUCCUAGUGUAGAGGUGAAAUUCGUAGAUAUUAGGAAGAACACCAGUGGCGAAGGCGGCUCACUGGCCCGAUACUGACGCUGAGGCGCGAAAGCGUGGGGAGCAAACAGGAUUAGAUACCCUAGUAGUCC